rnacentral:lncRNA from 1 species
CUGGUGGGUCAUCCUCCUGGCUGUACUGGCUGGGCUGCUGGUGCUAGCACUGCUGGUGCUGCUCCUGUGGAAUGUGGCUUCUUCCAUCGGAGCAGCCAGAGCUCAUCUUUUCCCACCAACUAUCACCGGGCCUGUCUGGCUGUGCAGCCUUCAGCCAUGGAAGUUGGGGGUCCAGGGACUGUGGAUGGGAUUCUUCAAACGGGCGAAGCACCCCGAGGCCACCGUGCCCCAGUACCAUGCGGU